rnacentral:tRNA from 1 species
UCCCUCAUAGCUCAGUUGGUAAAGAAUCUGCCUGUAAUGCAGGAGACCCGGGUUUGAUUCCUGGGUCGGGAA